UACGGAGGAUCCAAGCGUUAUCCGGACUUAUUGGGUUUAAAGGGUGCGUAGGCGGCCUAUUAAGUCAGGGGUGAAAGACGGUAGCUUAACUAUCGCAGUGCCUUUGAUACUGAUGGGCUUGAAUGUACUUGAGGUAGGCGGAAUGUGACAAGUAGCGGUGAAAUGCAUAGAUAUGUCACAGAACACCAAUUGCGAAGGCAGCUUACUAAAGUAUGAUUGACGCUGAGGCACGAAAGCGUGGGGAUCAAACAGG
rnacentral:rRNA from 1 species